GCUCAGAACUUAAAGGAUUGACGGGGCCCGCACAAGCGGUGGAGCACGUGGUUUAAUUCGAUGCAAACCGAAGAACCUUACCUGGGUUUGACAUACAGGUGGUAGAGCGAAGAGAUUCAAUCGACUCUGCAGUAAUGCAGAGAGCCUGCACAGGUGCUGCAUGGCUGUCGUCAGCUCGUGUCGUGAGAUGUUGGGUUAAGUCCCGUAACGAGCGCAACCCUUGUCCUUAGUUACCAGCACGUUAUGGUGGGCACUCUAAGGAGACUGCCGGUGACAAACCGGAGGAAGGUGGGGAUGACGUCAAGUCAGCAUGGCCCUUACGUCCGGGGCUACACACGUGCUACAAUGGCCGGUACAAAGGGUUGCGAAGCCGUGAGGUGGAGCGAAUCCCUUAAAGCUGGUCUCAGUUCGGAUCGGGGUCUGCAACUCGACCCCGUGAAGUCGGAGUCGCUAGUAAUCGCAGAUCAGCAACGCUGCGGUGAAUACGUUCCCGGGCCUU
rnacentral:rRNA from 1 species